rnacentral:rRNA from 1 species
UGAAAGACGGUCUUGCUGUCACUUAUAGAUGGAUCCGCGCUGCAUUAGCUAGUUGGUAAGGUAACGGCUUACCAAGGCAACGAUGCAUAGCCGACCUGAGAGGGUGAUCGGCCACACUGGAACUGAGACACGGUCCAGACUCCUACGGGAGGCAGCAGUAGGGAAUCUUCCGCAAUGGGCGAAAGCCUGACGGAGCAACGCCGCGUGAGUGAUGAAGGUCUUCGGAUCGUAAAACUCUGUUAUUAGGGAAGAACAUAUGUGUAAGUAACUGUGCACAUCUUGACGGUACCUAAUCAGAAAGCCACGGCUAACUACGUGCCAGCAGCCGCGGUAAUACGUAGGUGGCAAGCGUUAUCCGGAAUUAUUGGGCGUAAAGCGCGCGUAGGCGGUUUUUUAAGUCUGAUGUGAAAGCCCACGGCUCAACCGUGGAGGGUCAUUGGAAACUGGAAAACUUGAGUGCAGAAGAGGAAAGUGGAAUUCCAUGUGUAGCGGUGAAAUGCGCAGAGAUAUGGAGGAACACCAGUGGCGAAGGCGACUUUCUGGUCUGUAACUGACGCUGAUGUGCGAAAGCGUGGGGAUCAAACAGGAUUAGAUACCCUGGUAGUCCACGCCGUAAACGAUGAGUGCUAAGUGUUAGGGGGUUUCCGCCCCUUAGUGCUGCAGCUAACGCAUUAAGCACUCCGCCUGGGGAGUACGACCGCAAGGUUGAAACUCAAAGGAAUUGACGGGGACCCGCACAAGCGGUGGAGCAUGUGGUUUAAUUCGAAGCAACGCGAAGAACCUUACCAAAUCUUGACAUCCUUUGACAACUCUAGAGAUAGAGCCUUCCCCUUCGGGGGACAAAGUGACAGGUGGUGCAUGGUUGUCGUCAGCUCGUGUCGUGAGAUGUUGGGUUAAGUCCCGCAACGAGCGCAACCCUUAAGCUUAGUUGCCAUCAUUAAGUUGGGCACUCUAAGUUGACUGCCGGUGACAAACCGGAGGAAGGUGGGGAUGACGUCAAAUCAUCAUGCCCCUUAUGAUUUGGGCUACACACGUGCUACAAUGGACAAUACAAAGGGCAGCGAAACCGCGAGGUCAAGCAAAUCCCAUAAAGUUGUUCUCAGUUCGGAUUGUAGUCUGCAACUCGACUACAUGAAGCUGGAAUCGCUAGUAAUCGUAGAUCAGCAUGCUACGGUGAAUACGUUCCCGGGUCUUGUACACACCGCCCGUCACACCACGAGAGUUUGUAACACCCGAAGCCGGUGGAGUAACCUUUUAGGAGCUAGCCGUCGAAGGUGGGACAAAUGAUUGGGGUGAAGUCGUAACAAGGUAGCCGUAUCGGAAGGUGCGGCUGGAUCACCUCCUUU